rnacentral:rRNA from 1 species
UAGAUACCCGUGUAGUCCACGCCGUAAACCAUGCCUGCUAGAUGCCAGAAUUUUUUGGUGUCGAAGCUAACGCGUUAAGCAGGCCGCCUGGGGAGUACGGUCGCAAGAUUAAAACUCAAAGGAAUUGGCGGGGACCCGCACAAGCGGUGGAGCAUGCUCUUCAAUUGGCUGAUAACCCAAGAACCUUACCAAGGCUUGACAUGCAUGAAGUAGUGAACCGAAAGGGGAACGACCGGUAUCCAGUCCGGAGCUUGCACAGGUGUUGCAUGGCUGUCGUCAGCUCGUACCGUGAGGCGUACCCUUAAGUGGGUUAACGAGCGCAACCCCUACUGCUAGUUGUAUCACUCUAGCGGAACUGCCGCGGCAACGCGGAGGAAGGUGGGGAUGACGUCAAGUCGGUAUUGCCCUUACGCCUUGGGCCAGAAGCAUGCUACAAUGGCCGGCACAAAGGGUUGCAAAGCCGCGAGGCCGAGCUAAUCCCAAAAAAACCGGUCCCAGUUCGGAUUGGAGUCUGCAAUUCGACUCCAUGAAGCCGGAAUCGCUAGUAAUCGUGGGUCAGCUAUACCACGGUGAAUACGUUCUCGGGUCUUGCACACACUGCCCGUCACGCCAGCAAAGCUGGGGCCACCCGAAGUCUCACAUUAGUGGGCUCACGGUGGAAUCAGUGAUGAGGGUGAAGUCGUAACAAGGUAGCCGUAGGGGAAUCUGCGGCUGGAUCACCUCCUUU